rnacentral:rRNA from 1 species
CACGUAGGGCGCAAGCGUUGUCCGGAAUUAUUGGGCGUAAAGAGCGUGUAGGCGGCCUGAAAGGUCAGCUGUGAAAACUCGGGGCUCAACCCCGAGACGUCGGUUGAAACCAUCUGGCUAGAGUCCGGAAGAGGAGUGUGGAAUUCCCGGUGUAGCGGUGAAAUGCGCAGAUAUCGGGAAGAACACCCGUGGCGAAGGCGGCACUCUGGGACGGUACUGACGCUGAGACGCGAAAGCGUGGGGAGCGAACAGG